GGAAGAUGGAUUUACUCAUCCAAUGGCCCUCUGCUCUUCUUGAAUGACGGAAGCCUAGUUCAAGUCUCACACUCCCUCCGAGAUCCUCCUCAACCCAUCCAGCCUUCAGAGAGAGCCCCUUUUCCUGAAUUCCGGGGUAUGUUGGAGCCAGUUCAUGCCAACUCCUGAGAGGCAACUGUUAAACACUCAGGAAUUUCACCAGUGAGUUGUGUCUUGAAAUCAGCCGAGGCGGAAGUGUUUACACCAAAGACAUCGAAGCACAGUGCACCAUGCCCAGGGGCUGGGAUCUGCCAGAAGGGAAAGCUCUGAGACAACGUGAGAGCGAAGGUGGAAGGAGGAACGAGGCUGUGAAACGAAGGGCAGGCCCAGCUCUGCCCAGCAGAAAACACACCCGCAGCCCUGACGUUCCGUUCUGAGUCAUCCUCUUCCUGGUUCCACAUGGCUGAGGUACACGCCACACUUUCUCUAUAAUCUCAGUUUCCCCACCUGCUUUCUUGCCCAAACUUGUGGCGGCUU